CCUCCUUACCAUUACCUCUAAAGACGCACUUGAUGCAGUGCCUACCCACAUUGUUUUGUUUAUUUAUAAAGACUCGCUUCCCGAGUGUCGCGAUUAAUUGCUUUACUGGAAGCCAAGCUUCCUGACAAUUAAUCUACUCGCUAAAGAAGUGAAACCUAAAUGUUUCGAUGUAUAGUGCUAAUUAAUGAUGACAUCAUUGAUUACUGUUUUUAGAAACACUAAUGUUCUUUAACAAUUUGGAAAGCUGAUAUUAAUAAUAAUCAAUCAAAAUUGAGUAACUGAGAAGUCAAAAGACGUACUUUUUACUCUACUUGACUUGAAUUGCUUGUUAUCAACAUUGAUUGAUAACAAGGCAAUUCUUCCGAUUAGCUUGUCAUGCAUACNACAUUACCCUUGUCCGAAUUCNNAAGGCGGACNUGAGGCCAAUACUCAAGGCUUUUUAGGGUUGUAUGGUUAAGUGACCGAAGCGU
rnacentral:misc_RNA from 1 species